UGGAGUUUGUUGGUUGUGCUGUAAGGAAGAAGGAGUCAGUACUGUGAGGAGCUGCCCACGAGAAACCAUCGAGAAGGUUAAAAUUGAGAUUAUGAUGAUGAUAACUUCUGCAUUCUGGCAAGAGAGCUUUUCCACAUUCUUACAUGCUGUUCCCAAGCCACUUAUUAGUGGGCUGUUGAUUUAUAGUCAGAAGGUAACCUCCUCCCAAGAGAAAACUGUGAUAUAUUUGUUUGAAAAUAUCAUGCUCAUUUUAUUUCUAUGGCUGGUGAUUGAUUAUAAGGAUGAACUUUCAUGUUUAAGCAGUGCAGUUGACUUGGAGAACUGCCAUCAGCUUACAGAAGUCUUGAAUUUUCUACUGCUUUUGGGAGCCAGUCUCUGACCCAGAGCUGGUUUGAAGAAUGCAAAUCCCCAUGAACUGGUUUCCUUACACAGCAAUAUUGAAUUGCGUGCUGCGCCACCUGUAAGAGAAGCCUCAGUUCAGCUGCUGGUCAUGCUGGUGAUUCCAGGACUGGACAAAUCCAUUGUUACAGUCAAUGUCUGCUGGAUCUUGCCCAGCAGCUUCAUCAAGGAGGCUAGUUCAACUUGGAUCCUACUGACAACAUGCCAGAGAGAAAAGUGUUUCACCUCUAAGCAAAAGGAUAUGUGUGCUUUUGGGCAAUAAACCACCAGAAGGCAUAAAGACCAAGAACAUGAUUUUUCUCAUCUCAGAAGAAACUCAUCAUGAUUUACAUCCCUGUAACUGAGAAAAAAAUAUGAGGCUCUGAAUAUCUUAGAAGACAUUAUCCAAUUGGAGUAAAGGUUAGGUUUGCACAUUUACCAUCUAUAAUAGUAUUUUUCUUCCCCAGAUACUGUUGGUCAGACUUGUGUGUGUGAAAUGCAAAUGCACAUGUGGGAAGACUAAGAGAGAAUGUCAUACCACAGAACAAAUUUGAGCAGGAAUAAGAGUGAAUAUAUUCAGAGAAAACUUGUCCAUUAGUCACUCACCCUUACUGCUUUUUCAGCUGCCUUUCAUGUCUCCACUUGUAUCUCCUAAAUAUAUUUUCUUUAUGAAUGUAGAUGUAAAAAGGUGAAACACAGGCUGUUGGUAAUGCCAUGUUCAGAAGUACAACGUCUAAUUAGAACUAAAGCAAUAAAUCUGUAUCUGUCUGAGAAAUGGACAUAACUAUCAUUGUAAUAGUAAUGAAUUCAUGUUAUUUAGAGGUGCUUAACAAAACUGUGAUGGUUUAGCUUGAGAAGGCACAACCUGCACAGUUUAGCUCUCAAAAAUUAGUUCUUCUUAGUUCUCUAUAAAAAGAAUUUCUAUCUUCCUUUAGACCUUUCCAGUUCUAGCUCUUCCUGGGGAAUGAAAUUCAGAAGCUGGGUGUGGAGUCCUAGAUAAACCAAUUAGUACUGUUUUACAUUAAACAACAUAUUUUAUGUUAGAAAAACUGGAACAGACUUUUAAAGAACUUGAAUUUUUCAGUCUAAGUCUUGGAGUGCUAAUUUUCAUGUCAGUGUAAUUUAAGAGCUGUCAGGCUCCUGGUAGAAAGGGUGCAAAGCUAUCAAUGCCUCCACUACCACUAGCACUUCCCAAUUUCUGUCAUUGCAGCCAUAUGAUGGGAAGAACUCCCUGCUACAGACCUCCCAUCUCUCUGUAUUACCUCUCUAACUAUCCCAAGACUGGGGGAUAAAUCCCACAGGGAUGUGAGUGUCUGAACAGAAAGAAAGCCUUGCAUAUAAUUAGAAAUACCUAUGUACAAGUUUAACAAGAAAAUUUUUAGUUAAACUCGUGUACAACUUUUGCUGGAAAGCAACUUGCUCUUUGGGUAUUGAUUGAGAGAUGUGUGUGACACAAUAACAUCAGAUGGACCCUUCUUCCUGGACAGUUUUCAGUUAUGGUCCAUUAAAGGACCUUCUUGCUGUAUUAUUUAAAAUCUCAGGUCAGUGCGAUGUGGGACUAAAUGAAGUACUCUACUGAACUAAUCUUGGAUAUUUGCUGCUCAGUCCAAUGCUGUGUUUCUUUAGAAAUCCUCUUAGACUAACUUUAGUCUGGGUGCAUUUGCAUGACAGUAAUGACAUCUCAAGUACAAAAAACAGUCUUCUACCUGCCAACUACACUGUCACAGCUGUACCAUUCCCUGAAGUCCUACAACCUGUGGUUUUGCUCCAGUGUUGGUGAGGGCUGUUUUGAGGUGACUGGUAAGCAUCUGGAGUCCUUCCCCCUAGUUUCAUCCUUACCCUAAGUUACACUUAUUACUCCAGGAUAUACUUGGUUUCUUUUUUAUCUCUCUGCAACACAGCUGUCCACCUUUACUUUUUCUUCAGUGUUUUGCAGCUCUGUGUUACAUGUAAAUCUGCUAUAUAUGGCCAUCUUCCUUAUGCUGGAUAAUAUUUCUUUUCUUUGUUACUUAUAAGCAAAGAUUUUUCCACAUUUAUUCUGUAUUUCUUUAACUGCCCACUGGUGAGUUGUUUAUAGCUGUGUAUUUCCUAGUGCCGAGCCUGUGCCCCAUUUUUUAUGCCAUGUCUGGUUUUCUACACUGCAUCUCGUAACUGAGCUUCCCCAGGCCUCCGUCAUUGGGCUGUUUCUCUGUGUACCACAUUCUCUUAGUCAUGGAACCAUGGUGUUACCAUACAAAGAUACAUACACAGAUGGAAAAUUAAUUAGCCAUAGACACCUGGUUAAUUAGGGGGGGAAAAAAAAAAAAUCUUGUUCCAGGGAACCAAAUUAAGUUAAAUUAAGUUGCAGGCAGGUCAGGGUAAGUUCAGAUAGAGAAAGGUUGGUAAGUCUCAGUCCUACAAACUCAGUACAACACUUAUGGGUUGUUAGUAGCAAUAGCAGUAGCAUACCAGGGACUAGCUGGUUACUGCAUUGUGAAGAUGUCCUGUGCCAAUUAAGUAUGGUAAAUUAAUACAAUUGUUCAAAGGUGAGUAUUUAAUACACUGGAAUGAGUAGUUUUAUGUAGCUUUUUGCCAACUCAGUACAUCCAGUGACUGAUAAUUCUGUUUAGAAAUAAAAAUGCCUGGGACUCUAACAUUUCAAAGUAUUUCACAGCACUUUUAGAAUAUAGUGAAGGGAGAAAAUGUUAGUAACUGCCAUUUUAGUGUGAUGAAAGGUUCACAACUGAACUUCAAAAUUAUACAAGUGCAUUGAAAGAAUGCUAUUCGUACCUAAUGCCCUUAAGAGGGUGCUAAUUCAGCAUUGUUUUUGUUGUUAACAUCAUCUCUUACAAUAAUGUGAUUAUAAAAUAAUCUUCUGCUACACUAGGUUAACAUCUGACUACAACCUGUUUGGGCUUGUUAUGGUUACUGGCAUCAGUAGAUACAAGUACACAGCCAUAUUGCACUAGUUAGGCCUGGUUUAUAUAACAGUUGUGUCAGUUUACAAGAGUGCCACUUCCACCCAGAGCAGCAAGUGCAAAGCAGCUCCCCACCUCUUAAAAGAAACAGCUUUCUGUUACACAAAAGGAUUCUGAUUUGAUUUGAGGUGUUCUUUGGCUCUGUCUUUUCUGUGACAGUCAUCAGCUGUAAAAAACUUUGAUGCUUCAUCCUCUGCAGUUCUUCUUUGAAUAAACUACUGCCUAAGUAGGGGUGCAAGAGGACUCUGAAGAAUCAAGAACAGCCCUGGUAAAAAAUUGGAUUAUCACUUUCUAAGGCAACCUGAGGGACAGCUUUGGCACAUCUGAACUCCGGAAAGACAGAGCCACCAAAAGAAGGGACAUUAAACUCCACCGACUUCACUGGCUGUGAGAAGAUCCAUGCCUGAAAUCCAGCAGGUUCCCAGCUGCUUCAUGAACUCUUUGGCCCUUGGCCACACAAUGAGGACAGGGAUCGAAGCCAAGCUCCCAUUCAAGGCUGUGGGUCAGAUCCUGGACUGAUGAAACUGAGUUCGUGGCAAUGGAGACAACAUCUCUAUCUGACCUGAGGACAGAGAUAAGGGGAUUUGUCAGUGUUUACCAUUGAAACAGAAUUAUAAGAUGCAUUAAACCCACGGUCUCUCAUGUUUAAUGCUGGAGA